rnacentral:snoRNA from 1 species
UUUUAUGAUGAAACAUCACCUUAUAUUUUAUUUUUUCUGGUACCUCUUAUGUCAGGGUUAGAUCCUCGUGGUCGAGCCCGAUGAUCUAAAUGGACUUCUGAUA